rnacentral:pre_miRNA from 2 species
CAUCUUCCAGUACAGUGUUGGAUGGUCUGAUCGUGAAGCUCCUAACACUGUCUGGUAAAGAUGGC